CGGCGGACGGGUGAGUAACACGUGGAUAACCUACCUAUAAGACUGGGAUAACUCCGGGAAACCGGGGCUAAUACCGGAUAACACAUGAAACCGCAUGGUUUCAUGAUGAAAGACGGUUUUGCUGUCACUUAUAGAUGGACCCGCGGCGCAUUAGCUAGUUGGUAAGGUAACGGCUUACCAGGGCAACGAUGCGUAGCCGACCUGAGAGGGUGAUCGGCCACACUGGAACUGAGACACGGUCCAG
rnacentral:rRNA from 1 species